rnacentral:rRNA from 1 species
UACGGAGGAUGCGAGCGUUAUCCGGAUUUAUUGGGUUUAAAGGGUGCGUAGGCGGGAUGCCAAGUCAGCGGUAAAAAUGCGGUGCUCAACGCCGUCGAGCCGUUGAAACUGGCGUUCUUGGGUGGGCGAGAAGUAUGCGGAAUGCGUGGUGUAGCGGUGAAAUGCAUAGAUAUCACGCAGAACUCCGAUUGCGAAGGCAGCAUACCGGCGCCCUACUGACGCUGAGGCACGAAAGCGUGGGUAUCGAACAGG